UUUAGUAUCAAAGCUAGAAUAAUUGAGGGUGAGGUGGUAUGGAAACAAUUGAGAUAGGUAAGUUUGAUGAAAUUGUGAGAAGGGGUAUUCAAACAAAAAUUUAUUAAUGGUUAGGUAAUUCUAUAUAUACUCCCUUUGUGUUUUGCAUUUUACUGCCCUCGUUUCUGCUGACAGUGUCUCAUACUGAAGAUGGAUGACCUGUAGUCUUUACAUAAUUUCCAUGUUUAUGAAUCCCAGUGUAAAGUUAAAGUGAGUAGAAAAUAUAUCAAAGAUUGAUUUAUGUUUAGCCAGUGAAGUAACUUUCUUUAAUUUAAGUCCCUCUG
rnacentral:lncRNA from 1 species